CCCUUAUCAGCUGUAUCAGUCCACAGCAUGACUAAGCGUCUUUUCCUGGGACCAGCCUGAGCUUGUUGAGGCCUUUGCCCCCCCAAAAUAGCCUAGCUGAGACCCUCACCGUGCUUCCUGUGCCCUUUGUAACACAGAGAUGUUCAAGAGGUUGGACCAGGCCCCCUCUACCUGAUGGCAGUCCCUCAAAUGCACCCAACACAGGAAGGACAGACUGCCUCAGGACCUUUGCUUCUACUGCCCUUUCCCACAGUGCAGCACCUACCUCCUCCUCUCCCCUGUGAUUUUCCUGUCAUUACCCUCAGGGACCCACUGGUUCCUGAGGUAUUCUUCCCUAGCUAGAGACGUUUCUGGGGUGGAAUGGUCAGGAAGCAGGUAGAGCUGCUGUUCUAGCCCCGGUGGCUGGGAAAGUAGAGUUCACAGGUCAUCCAUCGAGUGCUGUAGAGUUGAGAUGGGAGAGGGUCACCUCUGUCCCCAGAGCUCUUCACAAUGGCUUAGAUAUGUCACACCAGGUCCUAGUCCUGCCUUGUGCCCAGUAGUGUAACCUCAAGUGGCAAUGAGGUCACUUCCUGGAUGGUAGGCAAUUGCGUUUUCAACCCCCCACUGGUUGAUGUCACAAUACCUUUAAUUGGAGCCUCACACCCAUCCAGUGAUCCUCAGAUUGUCACACGGGCGGAGGGCAUGCCACCCCUGGUCUAAAAUUGGGUUUUCACUGCUCUGAGUUGUGCAAUCUCUGGGGCCAAUAGCUGCAGAUUAGGCUAGCAAAGUCUGGGCAUCCGUUUUCUCACCUAGAAUAAUAAAGACUGCCCAUCCCCCAGGGCUCCUUCGGAGGCUUAAGUGAGGCCAAGGAGCACAGGUGGGGCAGGACAGAAACUGGGAGAACUGGAUGCUGUGUAUAGGGGUUUGGAGCCAUAGAUGUUCCUGGCACCCAGCAGACCUGGCUGAAUCCCCUACUCCUCUUCCACUGAGACCGGCAACCCAGAAUCCUCCCUGAGGGACAGAGACACGGGCCUGACCGGGGCAGACACUGGGGUGAUUUCCCUCCACUGUCCCCUCCUGGCCUGGCCAUCUGGGCCCACGGGCAGGAGUGCUGAGCAGAGACAGAGAUGGCUGCGUGGGCGCAGGGGCUCAGGCGCGCAGGCAGGGGGUUGCCAGGCAACAGCCACACGCAUCCGGCGCAUCUCCUGCACCGAGGGGCUGGAUGAGCACAGGUUCCAGCCAAAUGUAGGAGCUUUGCUUGCUGCUGGCUAAGCCCUGAUUUUGCUUGGGGCAGCAGGGACAGGAGGGCUUCAUGACAGCUCUUUGGUGCUCAGGGAGACCACCCUGGAGGGCAGUGACUAUAGUCUGCUCCUCUCAAGUUCAGUUCUCAGCAGAGGGACCACGUCCGCUGAGCAGAUGCUGUCGCUCGGAUGUUGGGAGCAGAGACAGGAUAAAACCUGACUCCAUGUCUCCCACCUCCAACCUUGGUGGGGCACAGAGGCUUCUGUUAGACCGGAAUGUCAUUAGAUGCUGAUGUCUCCCUGCCUGGACCAGAGUGAAGAGAAACCCAGAUAGGGCCCAGCCUACCCUGGGUUACCUGGAUCAGGCCUCAGCAGCCUCUAACUGAACCCGUAGCUCAAUGAUUGGCUAAGCUAGCUGUCCAGCAAGCCCCAGGAGUCUUCCUGCAUCCAUCUUCCCAGCUCUGGGAUUAGAGGGCCGAUGGCUGAUGGGAAGCAGGGCUUUCACAGUGGCCCCUGGAGUCAUCAGAGGAGGGGCUCACCACCGACAUCCCCUGCACAGCUCUUGCCUGCCUUCAUCCAAACUGCUCUUAGAAACUUGGACUCCAGGAUUCUUCUUCCCGGAAGUCCUUGGCUGGAUCCUCCUUCUUGCUUGAUGCCUACUGCAGCACUGGUUCAGCCAUGCCAAAGAGCUUUGGAUCCUUCUGUAAUUAAAAUGUCCCACUGGUCUGGGGAAAGAUGUGGCUGUA